AAAUUCUUCCCGACUUAACCACCUCUCGAACUCUUACCAUACAGAAUGCAGGGCAUGUGAAUGAUCGCAGAGAUCAAAAGCUGGAAUGCUGAGACCUGAUCUUCUAUCAGAGGGUGCUUGCCGAGGCCUGAGAGUCCAAAUGAACAGACCUACUGGGCCAUAGACUACCAGAACUUACCAUCCUGAGCUGUUCACUUAUUAUUUGUCCGGACUGGAGCACAAUUUGGCAGAGAGGGGCCCUGGGGUUCUGGAUCUGUGGACCCUACGAGUUUCUCUCAGGAAUGUGGAACCUGAUGAGAGGACAUCGGAUGAGUUCGGACUUGGGCCUGGGCCGAGAAGAGCAUGGAGGAUAGUAACGACUAACGGACUCCUGGAUAUUAAUACAUUAUUUGACAGAUUUAAUACGGUAAUACUCGAGUAACAAACAUAACUUAAACCAGGAAUAGUUCAGAAGUUCUGGAGCGUAGGUUUCAUUCUCAGAAUGUAAUAUUUUUCCAUGAAAAACUGAGGUUUCAUCUGGGAAACAGAUUGACAAGGUGUCACCUGUGUUUUUCAGUCUAGACAGACCAGACGUAUUGGAGUGCGACACACUCACAAACACACACACACACACGAGUCAAGUGAAACUCCCAGUGGAAUCCCCUCUGAUCUGGUUGUUUGUUGUCUUUGCUUCGUCUGCUUGACGUUACAAGUGCUUAUCUGUGCCUCACAUUCAUGUCUUUGUACUGAGAUUAUAUAACGCUGGAUAAAGCACCACAUUAAGAGUCUCAGCUUGACAUGGGGAUUACCAUGUCGGGCUGAAAGAGAGGCCUGUGCAGGUAUGCAGCAAGGCAAGUAGCAGGAACAAACCAAACAAACCAUUAGGUUACUGUUACAUGAGUCUGUGAAGCCCCUGUAUCUUUUACGGCACACACCUCAACACUUGUCAAGUCUUGUAUUUUACGUGGCGCACACGUUUGUUUGCGUGUGUGUGCGUGUUUGUGUCAGAAUUAUUAAUAUAUCAUGCAUUGCACAGUCAGUCGGUGAACACGUUGAAGAAAGAUUUAUUGCCUGCGGCCGGCCCACAACGAGACAAAAACAUCACACGCCAUUGUGC